rnacentral:lncRNA from 1 species
GCGAACUUCGUAACUUUAUGGCCUCUAGUAACUGUGUGAAAACGGGCUUUACUAGUGCCUCGAUCGGAGUACAAAAGUAUAACAAAUCUCAACCGUAGUGCUGAACUCCAAAACGACGCAGAAUACGCGAAAGCGAACGGGAGCAUGGCGGUACUCCACAGUGAAAGUGUUGCUGCCGUCGACUUUCAUUGAAAACUUCGUUCCGCGGCUGUUACCCUGUUGCCACUGAACUUCAGGACGCUGUGGAGAACUUCGAGGGCAUCGUGCACGAUUCAUACCGGGAGGCACCGUGACUUCCCAGCAACUGUCGAGCACAAGGAGUUGCAGCAGAGUCGCCUCAACCAUUGUGACUGUUGCAACUAUGUGCAAGCACACAGUUGAGGAGCCACGUCAUUGCCACUACUGCCCUCAGAGUUUAUUGCACAAGAGCAGCCUUAAGUCUCAGCAGUGCAAGCCCCUCGUGUGAAUUAACACAUGAGAACAUGUCAUCACAAUACCACACCAAAGCAGCAUCAAGGCCUUCUAUUUCUCCAUCAAUGGCUGAGGUUGAGAAGUCACUGCAGAGACUCCUCCAUCACUGUCACUUUAUAUGACUAUGAGACUGGUAAGCUGUGUAAUAUGAAAGCACACUUCAAGGUUCAUCCUGGCGAGCAUCCAUUGGAAUACCAUUCGUGCCCUCAGAGCUUCUUACGAAGUCCCAAGCUGAUGGAACACCUGUGCAUCCACGCAGG